rnacentral:tRNA from 1 species
CCGUACCCGGAGCGCUUCCAGGUCCCGGCGGCUUCGGCCCGCCUGGUGAACGCGGCACGGGCCGCGGGCGGCCGGAUCAUCGCCGUCGGUACGACC